GAGAGAUACCCAAGUGGUUGAAGGGUCCGGUCUUGAAAACCGGUAGGCGGGUCACUCCCGUGCGUGGGUUCGAAUCCCACUCUCUCC
rnacentral:tRNA from 1 species